rnacentral:rRNA from 1 species
UUCCAGACUCCUACGGGAGGCAGCAGUGGGGAGUAUUGCACAAUGGGGGAAACCCUGAUGCAGCGACGCCGCGUGAGCGAUGAAGUAUUUCGGUAUGUAAAGCUCUAUCAGCAGGGAAGAAAAUGACGGUACCUGACUAAGAAGCCCCGGCUAACUACGUGCCAGCAGCCGCGGUAAUACGUAGGGAGCAAGCGUUAUCCGGAAUUAUUGGGUGUAAAGGGUGCGUAGACGGGAGUCUAAGUUAGUUGUGAAAUCCCUCGGCUCAACUGAGGAACUGCAACUAAAACUGGACAUCUUGAGUGCAGGAGAGGAAAGUGGAAUUCCUAGUGUAGCGGUGAAAUGCGUAGAUAUUAGGAGGAACACCAGUGGCGAAGGCGACUUUCUGGACUGUAACUGACGUUGAGGCACGAAAGUGUGGGGAGCAAACAGGAUUAGAUACCCCAGUAUC